ACACUGUCUCUCACCCCAUUCUCAUUAAAAAACUAGGAGACAGUGGUGUCGAUACCUACAGGGCCAGAUGGGUCACUAGUUGGCUGGAGGGCCGCACCCAGAGAGUGGUGGUGGAUGGG